rnacentral:rRNA from 1 species
UUAUAUGGGAAUAAAGUGCAGUAUGUAUACUGCUUUGCAUGUACCUUAUGAAUAAGGAUCGGCUAACUCCGUGCCAGCAGCCGCGGUAAUACGGAGGAUCCGAGCGUUAUCCGGAUUUAUUGGGUUUAAAGGGAGCGUAGGCGGGUUGUUAAGUCAGUUGUGAAAGUUUGCGGCUCAACCGUAAAAUUGCAGUUGAUACUGGCAUCCUUGAGUACAGUAGAGGUAGGCGGAAUUCGUGGUGUAGCGGUGAAAUGCUUAGAUAUCACGAAGAACUCCGAUUGCGAAGGCAGCCUGCUGGACUGUAACUGACGCUGAUGCUCGAAAGUGUGGGUAUCAAACAGGAUUAGAUACCCUGGUAGUCCACACAGUAAACGAUGAAUACUCGCUGUUUGCGAUAUACAGUAA